rnacentral:tRNA from 1 species
GCGGAAGUAGCUCAGAGGUAGAGCACAACCUUGCCAAGGUUGGGGUCGCGGGUUCGAACCCCGUCUUCCGCUCCA